rnacentral:lncRNA from 1 species
GCUUCCUUGUUUCUUUCUCAGCAAAGGAGAAAUACAAGACCCAUGAGUACUUGCUUCCCACAAAGAGAUGCUGCCUGCCAGUAUGCUCCCAGAGAAACCUGCAAGCAUUCCAGCAGUGGUGUUGGGCUGUGAAGUCAGUGAAGAAGACCUGAGAAAGACAUGGG